UUUAGGAUUUAGGGUUUAGGGUUUAGGGUUUAGAGUUUAGGGUUUAGGAUUUAGAUUUUAGGGUUUAGGGUUUAGGGUUUUAGGGUUUAGGGUUUAGAGUUUAGGGUUUAGAGUUUAGAGUUGAGAAAUGAGGUUUUGAGGAUAAGAUUUCAAAUUUUGAAAAAUAAAAAAAUUAAAAUUUUCAAAAGAUAAACUUAGAAAUGUGCUAUUUUGGUCAUUUUAGUUUUUGAGUGCUAUUUUUGUGAUAUAAAUUUAGAAAUGUGCUAUUUUGG
rnacentral:lncRNA from 1 species